AUUGAACGCUGGCGGCAUGCUUUACACAUGCAAGUCGAACGGCAGCGCGGGGCAACCUGGCGGCGAGUGGCGAACGGGUGAGUAAUACAUCGGAACGUACCCAGAAGUGGGGGAUAACGUAGCGAAAGUUACGCUAAUACCGCAUACGUUCUACGGAAGAAAGGGGGGGACCUUCGGGCCUCAUGCUUUUGGAGCGGCCGAUGUCUGAUUAGCUAGUUGGUGAGGUAAAGGCUCACCAAGGCGACGAUCAGUAGCUGGUCUGAGAGGACGACCAGCCACACUGGGACUGAGACACGGCCCAGACUCCUACAGGAGGCAGCAGUGGGGAAUUUUGGACAAUGGGCGCAAGCCUGAUCCAGCAAUGCCGCGUGAGUGAAGAAGGCCUUCGGGUUGUAAAGCUCUUUUGUCAGGGAAGAAACGGCCGAGGCUAAUACCUUUGGCUAAUGACGGUACCUGAAGAAUAAGCACCGGCUAACUACGUGCCAGCAGCCGCAGUAAGAC
rnacentral:rRNA from 1 species